UACGUAGGUGGCAAGCGUUAUCCGGAUUUAUUGGGUUUAAAGGGAGCGUAGGCGGUUUUGUAAGUCAGUGGUGAAAGACGGUCGCUCAACGAUCACAUUGCCAUUGAUACUGCAAGGCUAGAGUACAGUAGAGGUGGGCGGAAUUUAUGGUGUAGCGGUGAAAUGCAUAGAUACCAUAAAGAACACCGAUUGCGUAGGCAGCUCACUGGACUGUAACUGACGCUGAGGCUCGAAAGUGUGGUAGUCAAACAGG
rnacentral:rRNA from 1 species